UAUAUAGAGAGAGAGAGAGAGAGAGGGGGAAAGAGAGAGAAUUGGGUUGGAAUAUUAUUAAUAGUAUUUGAGCUAUUUUGCUAUCGAUCUUACUAUUAAUAGUGGUUCCCUAGGGUUUAGUGGUGAUCCUCCUAGGGUUGAGUGAAUGGUUGGUUGAUAGUAUGAUUUAAAAGUUAAAAUUGAUUAAAGUAUAGGUCUAACGGUUAAAAAAUUAAUAGCAAAAAAGUCUAAAUACUAUUAAUAGUAUUCCAGUUCAACUCUCUCUCUCUCUUUCUAUAUAUAUAUAGAGUAGGGCUGCUGUGCUCUCAGGAGCACGGAGGCCUCCGUGCUCCUGAGCCGUUUUCGAUGAUGGAAUUUUCGAAUCGAGAUCGGCUCCGUUAGACUUGAUCUAGCACAUUUGAAGUUUCUUGAAAAUAAUUUUUACGAUUUUUUGAUAUCAUUUACCUAGUGAUCGAAAGGAUUCAAAAUCCAUAAUUUUUAAUGGUUGAUAUCUGCCGUUUUUAAGUUUAACGGUGUAGAAGUAUUCAAAUCAAAUGAAAUUUUGAUACAAAAUUCUUUAUACUAUCUACAACAAGGUCAAUAUUUCCGAUCGAAAAUUUUAGUGCUAUAUCACCACUUUUUAUAGAAUUUUUAUUUUCAGCCGUUAAAAAUUAUUGAUUUUAAAUCAUUUCAAUU
rnacentral:lncRNA from 1 species